rnacentral:tRNA from 1 species
AAUAAGGUGCCUGAUGAAAAGGAUUAUUUUGAUAGAAUAAAACAUGUAUAAUAUACCCUUAUUA